rnacentral:rRNA from 1 species
CUAAGGUAGCGAAAUUCCUUGUCGGGUAAGUUCCGACCUGCACGAAUGGCGUAAUGAUGGCCACACUGUCUCCUCCUGAGACUCAGCGAAGUUGAAAUGUUUGUGAUGAUGCAAUCUCCCCGCGGAAAGACGGAAAGACCCCAUGAACCUUUACUGUAGCUUUGUAUUGGACUUUGAACGGAUCUGUGUAGGAUAGGUGGGAGGCUUUGAAGCCAGGACGCUAGUUCUGGUGGAGCCGACGUUGAAAUACCACCCUGGUGCGUUUGAGGUUCUAACCUAGGUCCCUAAUCGGGAUCGGGGACAGUGCAUGGUAGGCAGUUUGACUGGGGCGGUCUCCUCCCAAAGCGUAACGGAGGAGUUCGAAGGUACGCUAGGUACGGUCGGACAUCGUGCUAAUAGUGCAAUGGCAUAAGCGUGCUUAACUGCGAGACUGACAAGUCGAGCAGAUGCGAAAGCAGGACAUAGUGAUCCGGUGGUUCUGUAUGGAAGGGCCAUCGCUCAACGGAUAAAAGGUACUCUGGGGAUAACAGGCUGAUACCGCCCAAGAGUUCAUAUCGACGGCGGUGUUUGGCACCUCGAUGUCGGCUCAUCUCAUCCUGGGGCUGUAGCCGGUCCCAAGGGUAUGGCUGUUCGCCAUUUAAAGAGGUACGUGAGCUGGGUUUAAAACGUCGUGAGACAGUUUUGUCCCUAUCUUCCGUGGGCGCUGCAGAUUUGAGGAAGCCUGCUCCUAGUACGAGAGGACCGGAGUGGACACACCUCUGGUGUACCUGUUGUCACGCCAGUGGCAUCGCAGGGUAGCUACGUGUGGAAGAGAUAACCGCUGAAAGCAUCUAAGCGGGAAACUCGUUUCAAGAUGAGAUCUGCCGGGGCCUUCGAGCCCCCUGAAGGGUCGUUGUAGACCACGACGUUGAUAGGCUGGGUGUGGAAGCGCAGCAAUGCGUUAAGCUAACCAGUACUAAUUGCCCGUGCGGCUUGACCCU